CCUGGGGCAGCAGUGAGGAAUAUUGGUCAAUGGCCGAGAGGCUGAACCAGCCAAGUCGCGUGAGGGAUGACGGCCCUACGGGUUGUAAACCUCUUUUGUCGGGGAGCAAGACCCGCCACGAGUGGCGGAGCGAGAGUACCCGAAGAAAAAGCAUCGGCUAACUCCGUGCCAGCAGCCGCGGUAAUACGGAGGAUGCGAGCGUUAUCUGGAUUUAUUGGGUUUAAAGGGUGGGCAGGCGGACCAUCAAGGCAGCGGUAAAAUCGUGGGGCCCAACCCCAUCCCGCCGUUGAAACUGGCGGUAUUGG
rnacentral:rRNA from 1 species